rnacentral:rRNA from 1 species
GACGAACGCUGGCGGCGUGCUUAACAUAUGCAAGUCGAACGGAAUAUCUCUGUUUAAUUUGUGUGCUGGAGGAGGGAAUGGUAAAAUGUAACGACACUCACCUGCGCUUGACUCUAGGACGCCUUCACGAAACUGGUAUCAAUACCUCACCGGACUUGCAGGAGCGUCGGAGUGAUUGUAACAAUGCGGUUUGGGAGAGGCUCGCGGGUUAUCAGCUUGUUGUUGGGGUAGUGGCUUAUCAAGGCUUUGAUGGGUAGCCGGCGUGAGAGGGUGACCGCCCACAUUGGGACUGAGAUACGGCCCAGACUCCUACGGGAGGCAGCAGUGGGGGAUAUUGCACAAUGGGCGGAAGCCUGAUGCAGCAACGCCGCGUGCGGGAUGACGGCCUUCGGGUUGUAAACCGCUUUCGCCUGUGACGAAGCGUGAGUGACGGUAAUGGGUAAAGAAGCACCGGCUAACUACGUG